CUGACGGGAGCCUGUGAGGGAGGGGUCGGGGCUGUGGCGUGGACUUGGGCUUUCCAUCAGUGAGGUGGGCAGCUGGGGUGGUCUUGCGCAGGAGCAUGAUAUCUGACUUGGGUUCUAGAAGAAUUUGCUGUGGCUGCUAGCUCUUCCUUCACAUUUCAAUUCUUGGAAGGCUCUGAAGCCCCAAGGAAAUCGAUCUUCCAGGCUUUUGUGCUUGUCUUUUAAUGCUGUUAACAUAAUCCAGAAUUUUCUGUGUGAGCUACAAACCACCAGCUGGUUGGGAUGGAGGUGUCCUUGGUCUUGGCCUGGUGUGUGGAAGUGGGAAGUGUGGGAACUGAAUUAAGUCUGUCCAGUCUGAUGAAUUCUUCACAGUUCCAGGCUGACGGCUGCCUGGGUCCCCUUGGUGAGUCAUUUUCCUGGUGCCGUGUAUCAAUGGACGUGCUGGUCCGUCGGGGUGGUGGUCCAACCCCCCCCAUCCCCCACUCACUGCUCUCGUGCACUGUGAGGCCAUUCUGGCCCAUCAGGACCCUGCCCUCCAGGUGCUCUUUCUCAGCAACUUGGCCCUCAAGUCACUGACACCUCUGUCCCUUUGGUAGGACCAUGGUGAUGCGCACCCAGGCAAAUCUGAAAGGCCUGCUGGGUCAAGUCACGUUUCCGGACUCGGCCAACCGCUUUCAUUGGACUUAAGCCACUUUGUACAGCUCGCACUCCAGGUAGGUGCGUGCCCGGCAGGUGCAGCAGCCUCCACAGCAUGGAGCCGCGGACCGAGGCCCCAGGAGGGAGGUCACUCUUCGGAGUGCGUUGCUUCUUCAUCCGUAGCUGCCGGACCUUCCAGCUCCUCCUCCUUGCGUGCUUGUCCGGGAGCCUGCCUUGACCGGCAGUGACUGCACGGUUGGUCACUAGCCGGAGGAUUUUGCACCUUCCACAGCUGGACAGUGGACUCCAGCUGAGAAGUUCUUAAUUGCUGAGUGAUGUGUUCGAGGAUAAACUCUCAACCCAUAGCUUUAACUUAAA